GUCAUUAUCAUGGAAUCGCGCUGGGCGGCUGCCUGUCAGUCCGGCACUAGAACACAACAGGCUGGUUCCCGGGUGCGCUUUGCACACCGUGCUGCUCGGGGAUGAGAUUCAACGGUGAGCUAAGCAUGUAGUGCUGGGGAUGGAGUGCCUUCGGACGGCGGUUCAAUUCCGCCCACCUCCACCA
rnacentral:tmRNA from 1 species